rnacentral:lncRNA from 1 species
AGAGAUAUAUACAGCUCAGUGUUAGAGGAUAACAGCUCAGUCUGUCCAGAUCGAUAUAAGCUCCAGUCUGUAUAGAGAGAUAUACAGCUCAGUCUGUCCAGAGAGAGAGAUAUACAGCUCAGUCUGUCCAGAGAGAGAUAUACAGCUCAGUCUGUCUAGAGAGAUAUACAGCUCAGUCUGUCCAGGAGAGAGGAUAUACAGCUCAGUCGUAUAGAGAGAUAUACAGCUCAGUCUGUCCAGAGAGAGAUAUACAGGUCAGUCUGUCAGAGGAGGAUUAUUACAGCUCAGUUCUGUUCAGAGAGAGAGAUAUACAGCUCAGUCUGUCCAGAGA